rnacentral:rRNA from 1 species
UACGGAGGGUGCGAGCGUUGUCCGGAAUCAUUGGGCGUAAAGGGCGCGUAGGUGGCCCGGUCAGUUCGUGGUGAAAGCGCGGGGCUCAACCCUGCGUCGGCCAUGAAUACUGCCGCGGCUGGAGCACUGUAGAGGCAGGCGGAAUUCCGGGUGUAGCGGUGGAAUGCGUAGAGAUCCGGAAGAACACCGGUGGCGAAGGCGGCCUGCUGGGCAGUGGCUGACGCUGAGGCGCGACAGCGUGGGGAGCAACAGGAUUGAGAGUACC